CUUAUAGUCAAUUUUUACUUAAUUUACACAUGCAAGUAUCCGCGCCCCUGUGAAAACGCCCUUUAAUUCCUAACAGGAAUAAGGAGCCGGUAUCAGGCACAUCUAUACUGCCCAAAACACCUAGCUAUGCCACACCCACAAGGGACCUCAGCAGUGAUUAACAUUAAACAUCAGCGACAGCUUGAUUCAGUUAAAGUAAAUAGAGCCGGCUAAUCUGGUGCCAGCCGCCGCGGUUACACCACGUGGCUCAAAUUGACCAUUAUCGGCGUAAAGAGUGAUUUAAGAAUCCUAAUAAUUGGUGUCAAAUUUUUACUAAGCCGUAACACGCUUGCCUCUUAGAAGCCCUAGCACGAAAGUUACCCCAAUUCAAUCAACUUGA
rnacentral:rRNA from 1 species